CUCUCUUACACCAGUACGGAGCGUAAGGCGGGGCGGGGCCGAGAGGGUGCCAAGGCCGAGAAGAGAGGCGCGCAAGACAAGAAAUGUUAUAACUGGAUCUCGAUCUGGAUGCUUGUCCUGCCUCCUGAAUAUUUCUCCUAUCGAAAACUCACCUAAAUCAGUAGUGCAACCUCCGCGGAGCAGCCGGUGCAUUCCCAAAGCACGCGAAGACCGCAAGCCCUUCAGCUGUAGACUUCCCUGAAGGCUGGAAAGAUAAGAUUCUCCAUGCAUCGUCCGACUUGUGAUUCUGUGAUUGUAUUUUUCACAUCCCAGUGGGAGACUUUAUUUUGGGGGGCUCCAAAAUCACUGCAGAUGGUGACUGCAGCCAUGAAAUUAAAAUACACUUGCUCUUUGAAAGAAAA